rnacentral:tRNA from 1 species
UCCCGGGUGGCUCAGAUGGUAAAGAAUCUGCCUGCAAUGCAGGAGACCUGGGUUUGAUCCCUGGGCCAGGAA